AAUGAACGUUGGCGGCGUGGAUUAGGCAUGCAAGUCGAGCGCUCAUAGCAAUAUGGGAGCGGCGAACGGCGUAGUAAUGCAUCGGAACGUACCCUUCGGUCGGGGAUAGCCACGGGAAACUGUGGGUAAUACCCGAUGAUAUCUGCGGAUCAAAGGUGAGAUUCCGCCGGAGGAGCGGCUGAUGUGAUAUUAGCUUGAUGGUGGGGUAAUGGCCUACCAUGGCGAUGAUGUCUAGGGGGUGUGAGAGCAUGGCCCCCCACGACCGGAACUGAGACACUGUCCGGACACCUACGGGUGGCUGCAGUCGAGAAUCUUCCGCAAUGGACGAAAGUCUGACGGAGCGACGCCGCGUGCGGGAUGAAGGCCCUUGGGUUGUAAACCGCUGUCAGAGGGGAUGAAAUCUCCGGGGGUACUCCCCCGGAGUUGACAGAGCCUCAAAGGAAGCACGGGCUAAGUACGUGCCAGCAGCCGCGGUAAAGUCUAGC
rnacentral:rRNA from 1 species